UAACGUCGUUUACAAAGAAAUUUUUUAAGUCUUUGAAUUAUCAAAAUACUGGCAUAAUUAAUAUCUUUUGUUCCAUCCAUAGUUAUACCUACAAAGUUUAUAUACACGAACUCUAAUUUUAGCGCUUCGUACAUUAAAUCUAUUAGAUAAAAAAAAUUUGCAAAAAGCAUCAAUUUUUCUAUUGACACAACCGAUAUAAAUUUUUUUCAACAUUAUGAAGAAUCCGCGGUGGUGACGCUAAAUUUACAUGGCUACAUUACCAUGGAGACGUGACUAAAAGUGGUCUAAAAUAAAAAUAAUCAUCCAGAAAAUAAAUAGCAAAUUAAUAUUUGAGAAAUCUUGCAAUGGCGAAGCAUU